AGUUAGCAGAACAUCGGAUUUGUAGUCGGUCGUGCGCUGAAUACUAUCAUCUAACUCGUGAGCUGCAUGUUGAACCAAGUCGAUAAACAGCCGACUCAACUGAGUCUAUCAUUCUUAGUCGGCCACGCCUCAGUCGAUGGAAGGCUGAUUGGAGAGAGGCCUAUUGGUCGGAGUUGGGUUGAACUAUAAUAGUCUGAUCGGUGGAGUGCAGAU
rnacentral:lncRNA from 1 species